rnacentral:rRNA from 1 species
GAUGAACGCUGGCGGCGUGCCUAACACAUGCAAGUCGAACGGAGUCCAGCCUUUAAGACCUUCGGGUCAAAGAGGGGAAGACUGAGUGGCGGACGGGUGAGUAACACGUGGGCAACCUGGCUCAUAGAGGGGGAUAACAGAGAGAAAUUUCUGCUAAUACCGCAUAAGCACACACUGCCGCAUGGCAGAGGGUGAAAAGAGAAUCGCUAUGAGAUGGACCCGCGUCUGAUUAGCCAGUUGGCAGGGUAAGAGCCUACCAAAGCGACGAUCAGUAGCCGAUCUGAGAGGAUGAACGGCCACAUUGGGACUGAGACACGGCCCAAACUCCUACGGGAGGCAGCAGUGGGGGAUAUUGCACAAUGGGGGGAACCCUGAUGCAGCGACGCCGCGUGAGUGAAGAAGUAUUUCGGUAUGCAAAGCUCUAUCAGCAGGGAAGAUAAUGACAGUACCUGAAUAAGAAGCCCCGGCUAACUACGUG